rnacentral:rRNA from 1 species
ACGUACACUCCUGCGGGAGGCAGCAGUGGGGAAUAUUGCACAAUGGGCGCAAGCCUGAUGCAGCCAUGCCGCGUGUAUGAAGAAGGCCUUCGGGUUGUAAAGUACUUUCAGCGGGGAGGAAGGCGAUAAGGUUAAUAACCUUGUUGAUUGACGUUACCCGCAGAAGAAGCACCGGCUAACUCCGUGCCAGCAGCCGCGGUAAUACGGAGGGUGCAAGCGUUAAUCGGAAUUACUGGGCGUAAAGCGCACGCAGGCGGUCUGUCAAGUCGGAUGUGAAAUCCCCGGGCUCAACCUGGGAACUGCAUUCGAAACUGGCAGGCUAGAGUCUUGUAGAGGGGGGUAGAAUUCCAGGUGUAGCGGUGAAAUGCGUAGAGAUCUGGAGGAAUACCGGUGGCGAAGGCGGCCCCCUGGACAAAGACUGACGCUCAGGUGCGAAAGCGUGGGGAGCAAACAGGAUUAGAUACCCUUGUAGUCC